rnacentral:rRNA from 1 species
AACGAACGCAGGCGGCAUGCCUAACACAUGCAAGUCGAACGAGAUCUUCGGGUCUAGUGGCGCACGGGUGCGUAACGCGUGGGAAUCUGCCCUUUGGUUCGGAAUAACAGUUGGAAACGACUGCUAAUACCGGAUGAUGACGAAAGUCCAAAGAUUUAUCGCCAGAGGAUGAGCCCGCGUAGGAUUAGCUAGUUGGUGUGGUAAAGGCGCACCAAGGCGACGAUCAUUAGCUGGUCUGAGAGGAUGAUCAGCCACACUGGGACUGAGAAACGGCGCAGACUCCGACGUGGGGCAGCAGUGGGGAAUAUUGGACAAGGGGCGAAAGCUUAAUCCAGCAAUGCCGCGUGAGUGAUGAAGGCCUUAGGGUUGUAAAGCUCUUUUACCCGGGAUGAUAAUGACAGUACCGGGAGAAUAAGCUCCGGCUAACUCCGUGCCAGCCGCCGCCGUAA